rnacentral:rRNA from 1 species
CAGCAGUAGCCGCGGGAACACGUAGGGUGCGAGCGUUAAUCGGAAUUACUGGGCGUAAAGCGUGCGCAGGCGGUUGUGUAAGACAGGUGUGAAAUCCCCGGGCUUAACCUGGGAACUGCGCUUGUGACUGCACAGCUAGAGUAUGGCAGAGGGGGGUGGAAUUCCACGUGUAGCAGUGAAAUGCGUAGAGAUGUGGAGGAACACCGAUGGCGAAGGCAGCCCCCUGGGCCAAUACUGACGCUCAUGCACGAAAGCGUGGGGAGCAAACAGGAUUAGAUACCCGGGUAGUCCCUGUCUCUUAUAC